rnacentral:rRNA from 1 species
UACGGAGGGUGCAAGCGUUAUCCGGAUUCACUGGGUUUAAAGGGUGCGUAGGUGGGUUUGUAAGUCAGCGGUGAAAUCUCCGAGCUUAACUCGGAAACUGCCAUUGAUACUAUAGAUCUUGAAUUUUCUGGAGGUAAGCGGAAUAUGUCAUGUAGCGGUGAAAUGCUUAGAUAUGACAUAGAACACCAAUUGCGAAGGCAGCUUGCUACAGGAACAUUGACACUGAGGCACGAAAGCGUGGGGAUCAAACAGG